rnacentral:misc_RNA from 1 species
GAUGAAGAACGUAGCGAAAUGCGAAAAGUAGUGUGAAUUGCAGAAUUCAGUGAAUCAUCGAAUCUUUGAACGCACAUUGCGCCCCCUGGUAUUCCGGGGGGCAUGCCUGUUCGAGCGUCAUUUCACCACUCAAGCCUCGCUUGGUAUUGGGCAACGCGGUCCGCCGCGUGCCUCAAAUCGACCGGCUGGGUCUUCUGUCCCCUAAGCGUUGUGGAAACUAUUCGCUAAAGGGUGCUCGGGAGGCUACGCCGUAAAACAACCCCAUUUCUAAGGUUGACCUCGGAUCGGGUAGGGAUACCCGCUGAACUUAAGCAUAUCAAUAAGCGGAGGA